AGGGAGAAUAAGCAAACAAAUGAGGUAGCAAAGUCAUCUGUCCUUCCUGCCUGAAUUGACAGUGCCCUGGCUCCAUUCCCUUCUUUAACAUCCCUUUCUAUAUUGAGGUUAAGGCGGAUUGGGCUGGGAUAGGCCCUAAACCUGCUGUUACUGGUGUCUUCACAAGAAGAGGACCAUUUGGACACAGUCACACAGAUGCUUACAUAGUGGAGAAGAAGGUCCUGGCCCUGCUUAGCAUUACGUCAACUUGACACACGCUGGAGUCAUUUGGGGAGAGGGACUCCCACCUGAGAAAAUACCCCAUAAGACCUGUCUAGUUGUUAGGUAUCUCAAGUUGACUACAGACUUCUCUGUAACAGAGAGUAAAUAACCUUGACCUCGAGCUUUGGAAGCUCCUGCUUCUUCCUCCUGAGUCAUGGGAAUACAAGUGUGACCACCAUCCCCAGCUGUGCCUCUUGCACACCAGAAAAUCUGCCAACAGCUACAUCUCCAGCCCCAAACUUCUUUUAUUGAUAAAUACUUGGCAUCAGUUUGUAUUUCCUGAAGACGUGCGUUCUCGGCAGCAUGUGAGGUCAGACAGAACUGGAAUAUGAGAUCAGUCACCUGCAAAGUGUAGAAGGUACUACUUGAUUCAACUGUUUCCUGGCACCAAGUUUCCAACAACCAAAGCCGCCAUUUGUCUUGGCAGAGGAACUCUGUGAAAAUCUGCGUUCUGACAACUGUCAAAGUCCUUUGGAGAGGGAUCAGAUGGAAAACUGGAACAGGUGUUUAGCCAGUCCAGAUUUUCAAUCGAAUAAUUAUUUGGUCAGUUAUCUUGCCACAGGAAGCUUUGGGUCUUGCAAAAGAUUGAAUCACUCCUCUUCCUUUUCUGUUAUUUAGUAUGAAAAAAACAAUAAGGAAACUGAGCAUUGAAUUUGUUUAGGCACCAAAGCCCAGAAGUUUUUUGGAAAAGAGGGACUUGGGAUAUGGCUUAGUGGAGAAGGGCCUGCUGGGCAUGGCAAGGGCAUAGGUCUGAACCCCAGGACCACCACUACCAUGUCACACACACGCACAUACAUACACACACACACACACACACA